UUGGCCCUGUGAGUGAGUCACAGAAUGAGACGAAUAACCUGCGUUCAGGUUCGCGCCAAGCGUAGCGAGAUAACAACGCGUCGGCGUUGACCCCGAAGGGGCGACACCAGCAGAGGCCGAGUCAUCCUGCACGACCCACCA
rnacentral:sRNA from 1 species